rnacentral:rRNA from 1 species
GACGAACGCUGGCGGCGUGCUUAACACAUGCAAGUCGAACGGAAAGGCCCUGCUUUUGUGGGGUGUUCGAGUGGCGAAAGGGUGAGUAACACGUGAGUAACCUGCCCUUGACUUUGGGAUAACUUCAGGAAACUGGGGCUAAUACCGGAUAGGAGCUCCUGCUGCAUGGUGGGGGUUGGAAAGCUUCGGCGGUUGGGGAUGGACUCGCGGCUGAUCAGCUUGUUGGUGGGGUAGUGGCUUACCAAGGAUUUGACGGGUAGCCGGCCUGAGAGGGUGACCGGCCACAUUGAGACUGAGAUACGGCCCAGUCUCCUACAGGAGGCAGCAGUGGGAAAUAUUGAACAAUGGGCGGAAGCCUGAUGCAGCAACGCCGCGUGCGGGAUGACGGCCUUCGGGUUGUGAACCGCUUUCGCCUGUGACGAAGCGUGAGUGACGGUACUGGGUAAAGAAGCACCGGCUAACUACGUG